UUUGCUUUGGCUGACAUGCCCGUCCUCUGCCCCACGCAGGCUGUUACAGGCGCUGGAACGCGGACGGGAGCGCCAGCUGCGUCCGCUGUGGGAACGGAACCCUCCCAGCCUACAACGGCUCCGAGUGUAGAAGCUGUAGGUCUGCCCGGCUCCCCCCGGCUCCCUUCUCACAGCUCCAGCUGUGGGAGACACUGUGGGAGUUGCUGUCUGUGUCCCCACCUUGCCCCAGAGCCACUGUCCACUGGGGAACAGCCCCGGGAGCCCCCUCUUCCCGAGUCUGCUGGGCCAUUCGGGACAGCUCUGUGGUGAGGGCUGCUCCGCCCCCUCAGCCCCUCGCUUUCAUAUUUCCGUCCUGAGAUCCCUUCAGGGUGCACGUGGGUGUCCCCGUGGGCUCCGUGCACACAGGCUUCCCACAGUUCUGCUAUCCCACAGUUGCUGGCCCGGGUGCGCCAUUCCCCAUGAACAGAAGCUCAGGGACCCCCGGGCGGCCACAUCCUGGGGCUCCGCGCGUGGCCGCCUCCCUCUUCCUGGGCACGUUCUUCAUUAGCUCCGGCCUCAUCCUCUCCGUAGCUGGGUUCUUCUACCUCAAGCGCUCCAGUAAACUCCCCAGGGCCUGCUACAGAAGAAACAAAGCUCCGGCCCUGCAGCCUGGCGAAGCCGUAAGUAACCCACAUCAUCCGGGCUGAGCGUCCCUGGCCGCGUGUGCCUGUGCCAGGCCAUCCCGAGUCCUCACUCUGCCUUUCUCUCCUUUUCAAGGCUGCAAUGAUCCCCCCGCCACAGUCCUCAGGUAACAGCAGCUGUCGCAUCCCCCUGUGGGGUUUCCCAUCUCUGGGCCAGUCCCAGGGUGCUCUGUGGGUUUGUCCCCAAACGGGUUUGCCUGGCUCUGGAUCUCGGCCACCCCUGCCCGGGUCCCCAGGAGACCCACCCACAAGGCAGGGCCAGGGCCGGAUUUGGCUGGUGCCCCCUGCUCUGGAUCUCAGCUGGAUUUGGCCGGCGCCCCCUGCCCGCCCCCCUUUAAUCCCCGUGACUUCCAUGCUCUUUCCUGUUCCCGAGACGUGGGGUCUGCAGGAAAGGAGGACCCACCACGACAGGGCAGACCCCCAAUACCUGCUCCUCCUUGAAGUCCAGCUCCACCCGAGGACAGACGCAGCCGGCCUCCGCCAGGCCCUCCUGAGCAGCCAUCGCUUCAGUGGUGCUGGGUCAGGCGGACCCAAGAGUCAGCCCGGUUAGGACCCAUUUUAUGUGCGGGGCCACAGACACAGGCUGAGUGACCGGCGCACAGCCACACAGCUCCAAGGCCAUGAGCAGGGCUCACCCGGCCUCCGUCCCCCUGUGCAGAAGUCUGUCAUGGGGGCAGGUGACCGUGCCUUUAGGGGACAGACCGUUCUCCAUCAAGGCUGGACGUGCCCCGUCCCUAAAGCAGCCCUGUCUGCAAGUGCCCAGCAGACCCCACGGUGCCCGAGUGCCCCGGGGCUGCCAGCUUCAACAGCAGACCUUUAAUCUGACUAUCCUAGAGUUCAGAAGUCCAAAACCAAGGGGCAAACAAGGCCACACGCUUCCCGAGGCUCCGGGGAGGACGCUGUCUGCCUUCCCAGCCCCUGCCGGCUCAGGCAUCUGUGGCUGCGUUGCCCGUCUCUGUCCCCUGGUCCCACGGCGUCUCCCCCACCUCUGCGUCUUCUCUCUCUGCCUCUCUCUCAGGUGGGCCCUGGCCGUUGUUUCAGGGCCUGCCCGGGGAACCCUGGGCGAUCACACCUGAGACCCUGACGUAACCCCCUGCAAAGCCCCUUCUUCUAAAUAAGGUCACAUUCGAGGUCUUGGGACUACGGCCUGCUUGUCGCCCCCUGAGGUGCAUGAUACUCUGGGACCCACAUCUCUGUCUUCGGGGAUCGCCUGGCCCUUGUCCAGGCCCCGGGGCCCAGGGUGUAAAUGAGAGGACACAGCCGGGCAGGAGGAAGCCGUCCCUUUCCCGAGCUGGAGCUCUGAGGGCGCCUUAGGGGCAGGGGGCAUCUGGGUUCCCACCUGGUCAGAGUAAACAGCCCCGGGCGCCUGUGCCAUAUGCCCACUCCCGAGAGCCUCCGGUGAGGGCUGAGGCCUGCACUGUCCCUGCUGUCCAGGUCCCACUCUGACCUCGCCUGUCUCUGACCCGUUUCAGUACGGAAGCCGCGCUACGUCAGGCGGGAGCGGCCCCUGGACAGGGCCACGGAUCCCGCUGCCUUCCCGGGGGAGGCCCGUAUCAGCAAUGUCUGACCUGGAGGCCGAGACCACGCCACGCACUUGGCGGCAGGGACCCGGAGGCCGACCCCUUGGCGGGAACCAGCACAAAGUGUUGGCAUCGCCCGGCGCCCGGGACAGUCCUGGGCACAGCCUCGGCUCUGAGUCCCUCCGCCUCCCAGCGACGGACGCCAAAGGGUCCCGGGCCGCCUGAGGCUCCUCCCCACCACAGCCAUCUCGUUUAUCGGACCAGGAGCAGGCAUCCAUGAGACCUCAGAGCUUCAGAUCGAGGCCUUGGGGGGUCCGGGCCCCCCCAGGAAACACGGUGAGGCCCCAGCGCCUGCAGCCAAAGCUGGCACGAUCUAUGGGGCAGGUGCCGCUCUGCCUAGAAAAGCCAGGGGCUCUGCUGCCGUGCCCUCCAGAGCCCACAGCGGGCAGGACUCCUCCAGCACCACCACACCCAGUGGCCCGAGACCCCUCUGAGAACAGUGAGGCUGGUCCUCGUGCCGUUCCAGCCGGUGCCCGGCCAGUGGGGAGGACACAGCCUAGGAACCAGCUGCCUGAGACCAGGGUGCCUCUGGGCUGUCCUCCCGCGUGGCGGAGACCCCAAGCACGCAGCCACCCAUUUCCGGAGCUGCAGGAUAGAGCUUCCUCUUGAUCUCUGUUUUUAAGCAGAAAUUCAUUGUGCAGAAAAGUCCUCCAGAGCUCUGUGGCCCCGCUCGGAUCCGCUGGACCCCCAUGCCUGGCUGAUCCCUGCCCACGUGGGGCAGGCCCACAUCUAACCCCCACAAGUCACUGCCUCACUGCACCUGCCAAGGCUGCCCUGGCGCUGAGUCCUGGGGUCCCUCCCGGAGUUCCUGGGAGAAAGGCGCCGUCGUGGCCGCCUCCCGCACGCCAGGCCCGGGCUCCACCGUGGGUCUCAGACGCCCUGCGGCACCGGCACCGUCUGCUUUAGCAUGGGACCCCCCUCUGAGGGGUGGCCUGGCCUUCGGGGUCCCCACGCUCCUUUGCGAAGUCCACUGUGGGUGCCAUCAUGGUCUCCGGGACCUGGGCCAGCGGGAACGUGGGGGCACUGGGUGUGCUGAUAUAAAGUCGGCAUUACUC
rnacentral:lncRNA from 1 species